UUUUACAGUUAAAGUGUUAUACACUAAUUCAAUUUUCCGCGCGAUUAUAAGCGAAUAAGAAACCAUAACAUUCCGGCCAAUAGAAUAACAAUAAGGCGAAGCUGCGCGGCGACAUGUCAUUCUACCGCCGAAAAUUGUGUUGAUAGGACGUAUUACGCCGGCAGAGAUUGAUAUCAGAGAAAUAAUAAUUUAGAGCAUAUAUAAAGUGUAUUUGCCGAUGAUUUGUCAAUGACUUCCUUGCAAAUUUGAAUUCGAUAUUAUUAGAGUCAUCAAUGUGGCAGAAGUCAAUUCAUCAAGAAAAUAAUGGAAUUAUCUCUCACGUGAAAAGGAGGUACUAUUGCAUAUCGUUUUCAAUGAUGAUUUGAAUGUAAUUUUUAUAUUAGUCAUAAAAAAAUUGUAGAGGGCAUAAAAAACACUUUAAUCUUUUCAAAGUCGGUAUUUCAGAAUAUAUGAUGCAAAAUUCCAUAAGAUGUCACUUAUUCGUCGUGUAUUUCGUUACCGAUCUUUGAUAAUUUAAACUAUUGAGUGAAAAGAACAUUAAAAAAAAAAAAAGAAUUGCUAUUUACGACAUAAAUUUAUAGCAAUUAAAUACUCAAGAAAAAGAAAAGAGAAAGGAAAGAAAUAUAUAGUUUUAAUUUGUCUAUAAAUAUAUUCAAAGUAUUUUUCAACGAUUUAUGUAAAAAUUUAUAUAUUAUU